GAUGAACGCUGGCGGCGUGCCUAAUACAUGCAAGUCGAGCGAACAGACGAGGAGCUUGCUCCUCUGACGUUAGCGGCGGACGGGUGAGUAACACGUGGAUAACCUACCUAUAAGACUGGGAUAACUUCGGGAAACCGGAGCUAAUACCGGAUAAUAUAUUGAACCGCAUGGUUCAAUAGUGAAAGACGGUUUUGCUGUCACUUAUAGAUGGAUCCGCGCCGCAUUAGCUAGUUGGUAAGGUAACGGCUUACCAAGGCAACGAUGCGUAGCCGACCUGAGAGGGUGAUCGGCCACACUGGAGCUGAGACACGGUCCAGACUCCUACGGGAGGCAGCAGUAGGGAAUCUUCCGCAAUGGGCGAAAGCUUGACGGAGCAACGCCGCGUGAGUGAUGAAGGUCUUCGGAUCGUAAAACUCUGUUAUUAGGGAAGAACAAAUUUGUAAGUAACUAUGCACGUCUUGACGGUACCUAAUCAGAAAGCCACGGCUAACUACGUG
rnacentral:rRNA from 1 species